rnacentral:rRNA from 1 species
UACAGAGGGUGCGAGCGUUGUUCGGAAUUACUGGGCGUAAAGGGUCUGUAGGUGGCCAACUAAGUCAGACGUGAAAUCCCGUCAGCUUAACUGGGGAACUGCGUCUGAUACUGGAUGGCUUGAGUGUGGGAGAGGAAUGCGGAAUUCCAGGUGUAGCGGUGAAAUGCGUAGAUAUCUGGAGGAACACCGGUGGCGAAGGCGGCAUUCUGGACCAUAACUGACACUGAGAGACGAAAGCCAGGGGAGCGAAACGGG